UACGUAGGGUGCAAGCGUUGUCCGGAAUUAUUGGGCGUAAAGAGCUCGUAGGCGGUUUGUCGCGUCUGCUGUGAAAACUGGAGGCUCAACCUCCAGCCUGCAGUGGGUACGGGCAGACUAGAGUGCGGUAGGGGAGAUUGGAAUUCCUGGUGUAGCGGUGGAAUGCGCAGAUAUCAGGAGGAACACCGAUGGCGAAGGCAGAUCUCUGGGCCGUAACUGACGCUGAGGAGCGAAAGCAUGGGGGAGCGAACAGGG
rnacentral:rRNA from 1 species